rnacentral:tRNA from 1 species
GGAAAUGUGCCUGAACUAAAGGGCUAUUUUGAUAGAAUAGAUCAUAGGAACCACCCCCCUCCUCAUUUCCC